ensembl:lncRNA
GAGACUCGCCGCCCCGGCCCGGAACUCCGGGCUGAAGAAAGAGGCACAGGAGCUGAGCCAGAAGCUCCCGCCCGCCGCGCACUUACCGCGCGUCGCCGCUGGGUCCCGCGCAGCCGCGCGCUCCUGCCCGCGCCGGCCCAGUCGGAGGAGUCACGCGCCGCGCCGGGGGCGACACUGCAGGAGCGAGGAGCGCGCCCGCUGGACUUUUGCUCCCUCGCUGCCCCUGGAGGCGCGGGGCGGGGCGGGGCGGGGGCGGCGCUAUGACGGGCGGUGGCGAGGUCCUUGGAGACGCCCAGGGCGCCCUUCAGAGGUCACCUCCUAAUUUUGUGACUUCGCCUACGGCCCGGAGCCUCCCCACACAUGACUGGAUCUUGGACUUCUCAGCCUCCAGAAAUGAUUGCAGGUUAGGACUUCAGAGCAAGUGUCAGCUGGAUGGUCUUUCAGUUCCACGCAGUAUUAACUGAAGUCACACAGAAAUGUAUCUGGCGAAGGUGGAUGACCUAGUCUAGAGGGUCUCAAGUGGCUUCACCAAAGUCACAGUCCAUUCACUUAUGAAUUUGGGGAGAACACAAACACUGAGACCACAGCAACCCAGCCUGAGCCUUGCAGGGAUGAUGGGAAGUCAGGGCUCAGCUGGGGCUAUCAGAGCUGCUCCCCAGGCUGCCUCAUCACAGUGGUUUCAGGAAGGCAGACUUACAUGGAGGCCCGGGCUCCAAAAAUCUCCAGAUCCAAGGCCUGUGACAGCCCCUGAGGAUCCAGAAUGUAACUUUCACAACAUUUUAUUGUUCAGGCCAGCCCAGAGUCAAAGGAAUUAUACUCUGCCUCUCAGUGGGGGAAACAGCAAAGAAUUUCCAGACUUCAUGGAUCUACCACAGUUUUUCUAUAUAAGAAAAGACAAUGCCAAUACACCCUUGUUUAUAGCAGUACAAUUUGUAAUAGCUAAAUCUUGGAAACAACCCAAAUGCCCAUCAAUGGAUGGACAAAGAAGAUUUUUUAUAUAUAUACAAUGAAGUACUACUCUAUCAUAAAGCAAGAUAAACUUGAGACAUUUCUAGGUAAAUGGAUGCACCUUGAGACCAUACUCUUAAAUGAAAUGAAUCAAACACUCAUGUUUAAGUAUCGCAUUGUUUCUCUGGUGUGAGAAACCAAAAGGGUAAAUAAAGACCAAAAUGUAUAACAGAUAUUGGAAAAUAGGAAGAAAAUGUUCAAAUGGGAAGGAGAACAAUGGAGAGGGGAGGGGAAAGGGAAGGAAAAGAGAAGAAAAGAGAAUAGGAAAAAAAAAUAGAAACAAAACGUUUGUAAAUAAGGAGGGUAAGAAGGGUUGGAGGGUGGGGAGGGGAUUAGGGUAAAAAGAAUCAAGAUAUGUACAGGUACCAACUCCCUAUGUUGAAUGUGAUAUAUAUCAUAUAUAUGAAAGAUAUGUCUAAAAUGUACUGAUAAAACAAAAAGACAAUGGCAGUAAAUAAAGUUAGUAAAACAACUGGUAUUCUCUGUUCAUUGUCCAUAUAGAAAUGGAUGUCACUUUAGCAUUAAGGAAACUUGUUUCCACUAUUUUUUUUUUUUUUUUUUUUUUUGGUACCGGGGAUCAAACUCCAGACCUUGCCCCUGGGAGGCAGGCAGCAGAACCACUGACUUAAAUCCCCAGCAACAUUAAGGAAACUUGUAACCAGGUAUGGUGGCAUAUGCCAAUAAUCCCAGCAUUUGGGAGGCUGAAGCAGGAGGACUGUGAGUUUGAGGCCAGCCUGGGCUAAAUAGUGAGGGCCUAUCUCAAAACAUCAAAAAAAGGAAAGAAUAUUUGUAAUGAAGACUAGUAGAACUCCACCAGAUGUCAGAUUUAUAAAAAUAUUCAGUGUAAUGAAACUCAGCUCCAUGAAAACUUUUCCCAUCCCAUCAUCGUGACCAUUAUUUUCAGAGUCUCAUUAUAUUGCCUAUGUGUGGAGAACACUUUGAAAUAAGAUGGAAUUGUAUAACCCUAAGUGUGCUGUAACCCUGAAGUGUGCUGUGACUUUAAGAGUGCUGUAACCUAAGUAUGACAUAAUCAUAAGAGUGAUGUGUAACCAUAAGAUAUGAAAGUAGAACCUUAAGCGGUAUGGAACUGAUAAGGGUGUGCCCUGAACUGGACAAGGCGUACCCCCGAACUGGACAGGGUGUGCCCCGAAAUGGACAGUGUGAUAAGUCUGAACCAAUACCACAAACGCCCAGUUAGAAUAGUAUAAAAGGAGCUGAAGACCCCAAGCAAGUCGACAAUCCGUCCCACCGACCAGUCGACCAGUCAGUCUGCUGAUCUGACUACCGACCGAGACAUCUGCACUCCUGAUCCCGCUGGAAGGAGCAUCGCCGCCAACCAGACGAGACCAGAGGAUGAGGCAAGCGGAGAGACGGAUAGCCUAGGGCCGACUCGACGCCCUUCGUCUCUGGAUCGGACCCUCUGACCCCACGGGAGGAAACGUCGCUCUCCCAUAAGGACUUGCGCGGUACAGGG